rnacentral:rRNA from 1 species
UACGUAGGGUGCGAGCGUUAAUCGGAAUUACUGGGCGUAAAGCGUGCGCAGGCGGUUUAUCAAGACAGGCGUGAAAUCCCCGGGCUCAACCUGGGAACUGCGCUUGUGACUGGUAGGCUAGAGUGUGGCAGAGGGGGGUGGAAUUCCACGUGUAGCAGUGAAAUGCGUAGAGAUGUGGAGGAACACCGAUGGCGAAGGCAGCCCCCUGGGCUAACACUGACGCUCAUGCACGAAAGCGUGGGGAGCAAACAGG